AGUGAACGCUGGCGGUAGGCCUAACACAUGCAAGUCGAACGGCAGCACAGUAAUAGCUUGCUCUUACGGGUGGCGAGUGGCGGACGGGUGAGGAAUACAUCGGAAUCUACUUUUUCGUGGGGGAUAACGUAGGGAAACUUACGCUAAUACCGCAUACGACCUACGGGUGAAAGCAGGGGAUCUUCGGACCUUGCGCGAUUGAAUGAGCCGAUGUCGGAUUAGCUAGUUGGCGGGGUAAAGGCCCACCAAGGCGACGAUCCGUAGCUGGUCUGAGAGGAUGAUCAGCCACACUGGAACUGAGACACGGUCCAGACACCUACGGGAGGCAGCAGUGGGAAAUAUUGGACAAUGGGCGCAAGCCUGAUCCAGACAUACCGCGUGGGUGAAGAAGGCCUUCGGGUUGUAAAGCGCUUUUGUUGGGGAAGAAAAGCAGCAGGUUAAUACCCCGCUGUUAUGACGGUACCCAAAGAAUGAGCACCGGCUAACUUCGUG
rnacentral:rRNA from 1 species